UUUUUUUUUUUUUUUCUCAUUCACCAAAUGUACAAGAAGUCAUACACUGGCUUUCCCUGUGGGCAUUGUAAUUCUCACCCAUCAGUUCAUCUUCAACAGGAAUUAUCUUCUAGGAGAACCCAGGCUCAUGCUGACAGAUUACAGGAUUAUUUCAAUUUUGAUUUUCUCAGAUAACUAAAGAUUUACCACUUGGCCAGUUUUUAUGUUUGUUUCUCAGUUCAGGGGCUUUUGAAACAUUCAGUUAAGCUGAAAAUUAGAUCCCCAUAUUCCUAUGAAUGUAUGCAUGAGACUUGAAGUUUUUAAGAGUGACUGUGGCUAAACAGAGCCCAGAAUUGGGGAAUAAAUUUCAGGCAAUGUUCACAAGGCCAAUGGGUAGAAUUAUUCUAACGAGAUUGCCUUUUCCAUCUUUCCUUCUUCAUUCUAUCCCUGCAUGGUUCUUAUUUUCAGUCAUCAUAUUGGUGUGCCUUAAAACGACCACCACUAUGAAUCACCUUUCAUGAAUCUGUGGGUUGACUGGGCUUAGCUGGGUGGUUUUUCUGUUCUAACUAGUAUCAGUUAGGGCUGCAGUCAUCUGGAGACUUGAUGGGUUAGUACUUCUGUAAGGACUCACUCAUCUGAUGCUUUGGGUGGUAUCAUCUGGAAGUCUGGGCUCAGCUAUGUGAUUCUUUGGUUUGAUGUGGUAUUGGCAAGGGCUGCAGUUAUCUGGAGGAUUGACUGGGUUGGAACAUUCUAGAAGGUUCACUUAUUUGGCUGAAAGUCAGUGCUGUCUAUCAGCUGAGAGUAUAGUUGAAUCUGUGGAUCGGAGUGUCUCAGUUUUUCUCUGUGUGAUCUCACCCUGUGGUUUGGACUUCUCACAACAUGGCAGUUGGGUUCCAAGAAGAGGUGCUAUCAGUGGCAAAGGUGGAAACUGCAGACCCCUUAAAGCCCAGAUCCAGAAGAUGCACUGUAGAACUGUUAUCACAUUCUUUUGGUCCAAACAGGCCAGAAGACUAGCCCAGAUUUAAAGAUAAGGGAAACAAAUUCUACCUCUCUAUGGCAAAAGUGGAAAAGAAUUUGUAGUCAUCUUUAAGAUACCUCAGUCAACAUAAUAAAGACUCUCAAAAUAGUUUCUUAAAGAAGAUAGGUUUGUUUUUCACUCUUAAAUGAUAAGUCCAAGGAUGUGUUAUCCAGAUCUUGAUUGCAGCUUUAUAAUGUAAUUAGCAACUCAGACACCUUUUUAAUGUCAUUAGCAACCCAGCCACAGGGUGGCUGCAAAAACUCCAGCCAUUACAACCAAGUUUCAGGCAGAAACACAUGGAUAGAACAGACAAGCAAAAGGGAUCUACCAACUAAGUCAGUCCUUGGAAGAACUUUUCUUGAAGCUUCCCAUGGCUACUGUUUACAUCUCAUUGGCCUCUCCUUCUACAAGAGAACCAACGAUAGUAACACCAAAAAGAAAGCAUACCAUCACGUCGGAGAUGUUUUUAAAUGUUUCCUUGUUUAACAGGUGGUGGAUAUGAGCUCAAUGAAUCACUCAAUGAGCAGUGAAUCCCAAACAAAUCUAUUUCAUUCCCUUUCCUUUCCAUCCCCACCAUCUUGUUUGCACUUGGCAAGGACUCUCACUGUGGCACUGUGAGAGUGUUUUUGUGGUAGACUAAUUUCGGUAUUCUAUUGAGACAGAUGCAUACAGCAUCAUGAGAAUAAGGGACAUGCUUUAGCCUGCAGGCUGCUGACACAAUGGUUGCAGGGUACUAUUUAGAGAAGAAUUUUAGUGCUCCUUAUUAAUAAAGGUCCAUUUGUAAGCCUAAUUACACCCUUGCCAAAUAAUAGAGUUGACUUUUGCGGCACUUCCUCUUCUGUUUAAACUGGAGAUGUUCUUUAUCAGCAGGUUUCAGUUGUCAGCCAAGUUUGUGCUCAGGGCCCCUGCUGCACACUUUUAUAGAGUCCCUUCUUUUUAGGUCUGUUCUCCUGUCUCACCU
ensembl:lncRNA